rnacentral:rRNA from 1 species
GACGGAGGGGGCUAGCGUUGUUCGGAAUUACUGGGCGUAAAGAGCGCGUAGGCGGUCUAGUAAGUUGGAAGUGAAAGCGCGGGGCUUAACCUCGGAAUUGCUUUCAAAACUGCCAGACUAGAGUGUAGUAGGGGAUGAUGGAAUUCCUAGUGUAGAGGUGAAAUUCUUAGAUAUUAGGAGGAACACCGGUGGCGAAGGCGGUCAUCUGGGCUACAACUGACGCUGAUGCGCGAAAGCGUGGGGAGCAAACAGG